GGAAGUACAGUUUGCAGUGAAAAUAGAACGAAACAGAACCUCAAUGUUAAUUUGGUAGAACAUCAGCCGUUGGAGCAGCGUGCUAAGUGUCUGGCCGGCUCCCUCUGUCCUCUGGCCAGUGUUGGCCAUUUGCCCCUGGUGGAUGGCCCCUUCCUCCUCUGGCCAGGCUGUUCUCUGUCCCACAGGACCUCACACUGUUGUCGGACCUGCGGGCUUUCCUCUGUGGGUCUGGGAGUAAGCCUGACAGUGAAGGGCUGGCCUAUCGCCUGGCCAUGAUACCCUCUAUCUUCCUGCAGGUCUGCCCCUUUGGGACCCCCCUGGACAUCCCUCAGCCAGGGGCCUCAUCGGCAUCAGCAAUGCCCUCUCCUGCAAGGAUCCAGAAACACCAAGCCUAGAAAAAGGCUGCAGCAUGGUGGGGCUGUGGUGAAUGUAGCUCUUUCGGAGAUGGUACGCUCCAUGCAGUAUGGAAACUGCACAGUGUCUACAGUGAAUUGCAAGGGGUCCUUCCCAAUGCGACGGUCACUCUCUCGCUGCGACCCAAUGGCUCACCACUGCUGGAUGUCCUGGUCCAUCCUUGUGUGUCUUCACUGGAUGCCUCUGGCCCCUACAAGUUCCCCUUCUCCCAUUGGGUCUUUCAGGUCCCCGUGCCACCCAUCCUCCCUAUCAGCUGAAGGAGUAUGACAACCAGCUGCAUUUGACUGUGAGGAACAGCUUUGAGUACUGUGAGGCACAUCUGCCGUUCUUUAACGGGUAACCUAUGGACAUAUCAAAUCAAAUUGUUUUUGUCACCUGCACCAAAUACAACAGGUGUAGUAGACCUUACCGUGAAAUGCUUACUUACAAGCCCUUAACCAACAAUGCAGUUCAAUAAAUGGAGUUAAGAAAAUAUUUACUAAAUAAAGUCAAAUUCGAUUAAUUGUUCAGCAGUCUUAUGGCUUGUGGUAGAAGCUGUAAUGAGCCUUUUGAACCUAGACUUGGCUUUCCGGUAGCGCUUCCUCUAAACACAAUACAUAACAUCUCACAUUGAUGACGGGCUUCCUAAUGUCAACAUAGUAGCUUAUUACACAUAAUCAUCACUUUUUGUCGCUUGAAAUAGUGUUUCAGCUAUUUUUUUAAGAAACACAACUUCAAGUUAAAUUUAACCUCUGACCUAUGUGUCCCUGUAUGGACCAGAUGAGUAGUGUGGAUGUAAAGGUGAGCUCAGGACAGCUGGAGGUGUUCAAGGAGAACCUGCUGGUCUGGGUCCUCUGUAUGUCUCAUUGGUCUGGCGACAACAUUUACACUUUGCAAUGGCUCAGUUUAAGCCAUAUUACAUGUUCAAAUAGCUUUUGUGCCCUGGCACUCUUUAGGCCAGAAGUUCCCCAAGUCCAGUGAGGUGUCACUAGACAGCACUGAGUUUCUUAGGGCAGCUCCCAGGACCUACAGAUCCUCUCUGCACAGACCUUACAGUCUACAUCAAAGUAAGUCAGAAUCUUUCUAGACAAUGGAGAUGCAUCUAAAACCGAACAAACCAGAAACUUUUCAUUUAUGUUUUUCAGUUGAACUUUCGAGUGCCAGACUUGACUCUGUCUGGAUGUUGUGUAGCCCAGCAUUCAGUGCAGGUCUAUUCCUCUGCAAAACCUUGCAUAGUCACAUAUUUGGGUUCUAAUGCUGGUUUCAUUAUUAUGUAUGAAAAUAGGUGUAUUUGUGUGAAUUCUGAAUGCACACCCUCUCUCUCCUCUCUGCAGCAACUGGACAACAGGAUUCUGGUGACCAGGUUUGAAACGGACAGCAUCCAACAUUAUGAACCCAAUGGUCAAAGUACUGUAACUGAAUGGUUUGUUUCUGCUGUUGUUCUUACAGUCUCGGUCUCUUCUAAGAUGCAAAAUGCUGUUUCUCAUCUGUUCUGAACACAGACCAAUCCCUUUUUUGUGAAAGAAUGCGCCUUAUUAAAUAGAGAUAAUGGUUAUUUAACUGAAUUCUAGUAAAGAGUAGUACUACUGGAUAGGCAUAUUGAAAUUUAAAAAAUGGUAUUGAUGCUGCCAUUUUUGGAACAUGUUUGGGCUACCCACUCCACAUCUCUUUAGAGUGUUGCCACCCUUCGCUCUGACAGUCCCACUUCAGUCCCACCCCUCCAUUAGCCGGAUAAUUAGCAGCUGGGGCCUUGUUGUCAGCUGGAGCUGAGGGCCUGUGGGAGACGGGGCUUGGGCUGUGAAAGGGUAAGCUGAUCUGGGCAGAGUCUGUGCCACAAAGGGCCCCUCUGGAGAACUGGCAGGACUCACUGGUUCCUCCCUGUGACUGCCCUGCCUGUCAGCCAGUGGUCUCUUCAAAUACCCAGCCUCUCCACUGAACCGCCCUCUAAAAAGUUGAGGCCCCAGCUGGCCAGAUGACUGGCUAAUUGGAGAAACUGGGUGUGGUGGCAUUAAAUAUUACAUGACAAAAAUAGGUUUAGCGUAGUGGUCCGGAUUCAGGUCUUAAUUGCAAUUUGAUUAGAGUAGAGCUCAUCCAUGCAUGGCCAUGAUAAAAAAAACUGUAAUUGAAAAGAAAAUUCAUCGGCAUGUCUACAAAAUGUAACAAAAAAGAGAACGAAGCUGUUUACCAAGACAUACUAUAUGUAGACCCGGUUUUUAGCAAGGAAGGCACACUGAACAAAAAUAUAAACGCAAAUUAAUUUGGCCCUAAUCUAUGGAUUUCACAUGACUGGGCCUGGGAGGGCCCACCUGGGAGGGUCCACUCACUGGGGAGCCAGGCCCAGCCUAUAAGAAUACGUUUUAUCCCACAAAAGGGCUUUGUUACAGAAAGAAAUGCUCAUCAGUUUCAUCAGAUGUCCGGGUAGCUAGUCUCAGAUGAUCACGCAGGUCAAGAAGCCGGAUGUGGAGGUCCUGGGUUGUCAUGGUUACACGUGGUCUGUGCUUGUGAGGCCAGUUGGACGUACUGCCAAAUUCUCUAAAACGAUGUUGGAGGUGGCG